rnacentral:rRNA from 1 species
UGGCGGCGUGCCUAAUACAUGCAAGUCGAACGGUCUUUCUAUGGAAGCUUGCUUCCACUGAGAAGAUAGUGGCGAACGGGUGAGUAACACGUGGGUAACCUGCCCAUAAGAGGGGGGAUAACAUCCGGAAACGGGUGCUAAUACCGCAGUAGUUUCUUGAUCGCAUGAUCGGGAAAGGAAAGACGGCCUUUGUGCUGUCGCUUAUGGAUGGACCCGCGGCGUAUUAGUUAGUUGGUGAGGUAACGGCUCACCAAGACGAUGAUACGUAGCCGACCUGAGAGGGUGAUCGGCCACAUUGGGACUGAGACACGGCCCAAACUCCUACGGGAGGCAGCAGUAGGGAAUCUUCCGCAAUGGACGAAAGUCUGACGGAGCAACGCCGCGUGAGUGAAAGAAGGUUUUCGGAUCGUAAAACUCUGUUGUCAGAGAAGAACAAGUUGGAGAGUAACUGCUCCAGCCUUGACGGUAUCUGACCAGAAAGCCACGGCUAACUACGUGCCAGCCGCCGC